rnacentral:rRNA from 1 species
UACGAAGGGGGCUAGCGUUGCUCGGAAUUACUGGGCGUAAAGCGCGCGCAGGGCGGCUAUCCAAGUCAGUGGUGAAAGCCCGGAGCUCAACUCCGGAACUGCCAUUGAAACUGUUUAGCUUGAGGAUGAGAGAGGUGAGUGGAAUUCCGGGUGUAGUGGUGAAAUGCGUAGAGAUCCGGAGGAACACCAGUGGCGAAGGCGACACGCUGGGCCGUACCUGACACUGAUGCGCGACAGCAUGGGGAGCAAACAGG